GCGAGCCCGCGUAUAAUGCGAAUGCGUUUUUAGCAACUAAAUUUCGAGGUAAAAAACCUCGCAUUAUAUGCGGACAAAUACGGUAAUCUAAACACGCCUGCGUUCGUCUGGUCAGCUACGACUCUAGAAACGUUUGCAAUGUUCAGCCUAACCCAAUCGCGAACGGGAAUAUCUCCAACCUAAUUUGAGAAAAUAUCGUAUUGCUGCCUUUUUCUUGAUUACUGAUACUUUUCAUAGACUUCUACACUGUGUUGUCAACACAAAGGGUCUUAAAGGAGCAUGGAAAUGAUCGGAAUAAAAUAUGACGGGAGAAGUAGAAAUUAUGAUUCUGAGCCCUGUGAUACAUAUUCGCACAAAAAGUUUGAGCGUAGCGCGCAAUCCUGGAGCGCGAGGGAGCUUUGAAUCUCGCGGCAGAAAUGCCCCCUCACUCGGCUGUCAGCCGCUGACGUCAUGUGACCGCGCCGUCUUUUUCUUUAUUUUUUGCGAUUUCUCCGGCGCGCGCUGGCAAGCCGACCGGGAAGGAAGCGUUGUUGCUCAUCGGACGCCGUGCGAAGGACAGGUGAUGAAUUGAACACUCUUUAGGCGACACGUCUGCUCUUCUCGACGAAACGUUUUAUGGAGUUGGAGGCUAAGUUCCUCGAGCUUCGAUUUCGCCACACGAAUGUACCGGAGGCUGUCAUGAAGACGCGGCGCAGUGACCAGUGUUUUCACUUGAAGAUGUUGCCGACCAUCAUGACUUCUCCGUGUUGUGGUCAACACUAUGGGCUCUGAACCGCAUGGACACUGGCAUCUCUGAGGCGAAAGAGCGGACCGAUGAACGCAUAGCUGUGUAACAUUGCGCUUACCAUAUCUUAGUGAUACCAGGAGCGUAACGUCUCCACAAACACUACAACAUGAAUACCAAAAUAAAGUUAGUAAAGUUCAUCUGCUAGCGAUCUGUGGGAAACCCCAAAAUACAUGGUCAAAUAAUCAUUUUCUUUUUUGAAUGGUCAUACGCAGAAUACAACACUGGCACAUGGAAUAAAUCUCCAACUGACAGGAACGUAUUUAGUCGUAUCACAUAUAUAUAUGCUGCACACACAGGCACAAUACUGUUCACUAAUGAACGACACCUCAGCACAAUCGGAACAGAAAUCACAACCGCGUACGAUCCACCUCAACCCGGGCCGUCACUGCAACACAGAGGCCUGGCUACACCUUUUACACUGCCCGCAGUCUUGUUUUAUGCAAAACUUACGAGACAAAUCAUGUAAGAACGCAAGUGAAUGUCAAACGCAAAUAAAUAGCAACAGCGUCUCA